rnacentral:rRNA from 1 species
GAUGAACGUUGGCGGCGUGCCUAAUACAUGCAAGUCGAACGGUAGGCGAGCAUUCGUGCUUGUUGAGAGUGGCGCACGGGUGAGUAACACGUAACUGAUCUGCCCCAUAUUUUGGGAUAACCUUUGGAAACAGAGGAUAAUACCGGAUAGCAGCGCAAUAGUUAGAGAGUUGCGCUAAAAGCGACUGAGCGAUAUGGGAUGGGGUUGCGUUCCAUCAGCUAGUUGGUGAGGUAAAGGCUUACCAAGGCGAUGACGGAUAGGGGAUCUGAGAGGGUGGCCCCCCACACUGGGACUGAGACACGGCCCAGACUCCUACGGGAGGCAGCAGUAAGGGAUAUUGCACAAUGGACGGAAGUCUGAUGCAGCGACGCCG